rnacentral:rRNA from 1 species
GACGAACGCUGGCGGCGUGCUUAACACAUGCAAGUCGAACGGAAAGGCCCUGCUUUUGUUGGGUUCUCGAGUGGCGAACGGGUGUGUAACACGUGAGUAACCUGCCCUUGACUUUGUGAUAACUUCACGAAACUGGGGCUCAUACCGGAUAGGAGCUCCUGCUGCAUGUUGUGGGUUUGAAAGUUUCGGCGGUUGGGGAUGGACUCGCGGCUUAUCAGCUUGUUGGUGGGGUAGUGGCUUACCAAGGCUUUGACGGGUAGCCGGCCUGAGAGGGUGAACGGCGACAAUGGGACUGAGAUAGGGCGCAGAAGGCAACGGGAGGCAGCAGUGGGGAAUAUUGCAGAAUGGGAGGAAGCCUGAGGAAGAAACGCCGGGAGCGGGAUGACGGCCUUCGGGUUGAAAACCGAUUUCGCAUGUGACGAAGCGUGAGUGACGGUAAUGGGUAAAGAAGCACCGGCUAACUAUGUG